GCAAGAGCGUCUGUGCUGAACCACGGAGCCACCAGAGGGCGCGCGAUCCCGCCCCAACCAACUUCCCGCUGAGGUGCCAGAAGCAGCGAGGAGCUUCAACUUCCUCAGGGCAGCACGAGGGUCGUGUUAACUUGGUGUUCUUCAUUGAGAAAUGGAAUCCUCGUAUCGCUGAUCUAUGUAAACAAAUUGAAGAAUUGUCUGAAAGAAAAUAUGACAUGAACUUAUGAAUUCAACAGGUGAAGAUUUAGAACUUGAUAAAUCAACUUUGUGAGCUCGAGCUGUAAAAGCCAAAGGUCCGGUGAUGAUCCCAUACCCUUUUUUCCAGUCUCAUGUUGAAGAUUUUUAUGUAGAAGGCCUUCCCAAAGGAAUUUUUUUUUUUUUUUUUGAGAUGGAGUUUUCACUCUUAUCGCCCAGGCUGGGGUGCAAUGGCGCAACCUUGCUGGUCACUGCAACCUCUGCCUCCUGGGUUCAAGAAAUUCUCCUGCCUUAGCCUCCCAAGUCGCUGGGAUUACAUGUGCCCACCACCACACCAGGCUAAUUUUUGUAUUUUUAGUGGAGAUGGGGUUUCACCAUGUUGGCCGGGCCAGUCUCGAACUCCUGACGUCAAGUGAUCUUCCCGCCUCGACUCCUGACAUCAAGUGAUCUUCCCGCCUCGGCCUCCCAUAGUGCUGAGAUUACAGACGUGAACCCAUGCCUGGCCAGGAAUUUUGUUUUUUAGGAAGGCUUUCUACUAAUGGAAUUCCUGGCCUUGAGAGGAUGUUACUUUCGAAGGAAAGGAUUUUUUUGUUAUUAAAAGAAACAGGACCUUGCCCUGUCACUCAGGAUGGAGUUCAGUGCUCCUAUCAUGGCUCAUUAUAGCCUCAAACUCCCAGGCUGAAGCAAUCCUACCAUGUCAGCCUUCCCGUAGCUGGGACUACAGGUCUCACACCAUCACCCAGGCUGGAGUACAGUGGCACAACCUCUGCUCACUGCAGCCUCCACCUGCCAGGCUCAAGCAAUUCUCCUGCCUCAGCCUCCCGAGUAGCUGGGAUUACAGGUAAGUGCCACCACACCCAGCUGAUUUUUGUGUUUUUUUGUAGAGACGAGGUUUCGCCGUGUUUCCCAGACUGUUCUCAAACUCCUGAGCUCAAAGCAGUCCACCCACCUUGGCCUCCCAGAGUGCUGGGAUUACAGUUGAAGCAUAUGUCCUGCGAGCUUAGGGGUGCUACAAGUUGACCACUGCAGCAGUAAAGAUGACUCUGAAGAAUGGCGUGGGAUGGAUCCUUUCAAAUGCACUUGAGCAGCGGUCUCCAACCACAGGGCCACAGAGCUGGAGCUGGAUCUACCAUGAAGGACUUCUGAAUCCAGGAAGAGAGACUGACUGGGCAACAUGUUAUUCAGGGUCUCCCUCUGUUGUCCAAGGCUGGAGGGUAGUAGUGCUAUCGCAGCUGACUGCAGCCUCAACCUUCCAGGCUGAAGCGAUCCUCCCAUCUCAACCUCCCACGUGGCUGAGACUACAGGUGCUUGCCACUAUGCCCAACUAAUAUUUGGAAUUUUCGUAUACGUGGAUUCCAGAGGGGUGACAGCGAAACACGAGUGGGACCAUCCAGUUUCAGGAAAACAAGCUUAACACGCCCACUGAUUCUACAUUAUGAUUCUUCAGGCCCAGCAUCUGCCUCACUGUGGACCCCCCAAGCCAAGCUCCCAACCUUUCAGCAGCUUCUACACACCCAGCUCCCGCCUGCCAGUGGCCUCUUCAGGCCCAUGGGGCUCAUUCCUCACAACAGCCUUUCCAGUCCCAGUUUUUCCCUUCUGACGGCCUCUC